rnacentral:rRNA from 1 species
AAAUAGAACUUUGCAGAGAGAGUUAACAGGGCGUGAAACCGUUAAUUGAGAAACGAAUCGGAGCCACGAAGUCGUUUCGUUGUUUAGUUGGACCAAGUUCAGUUUGUGAGCAUCAACUCAUGGGCGUAUUCUUGUGUUCGGCCAAACUUUGUAAGCGUACACUGCAACCGGUUAGACGAUUGGCUAUGGGCCCAGUUGCUCAAAUUAGUAGUAGCAUUGUGCGCUUCGGUGUAUAUUUGUUACUGGAUUUGUGGCAAGUGAACUAUAGCCAAAUACUGACCGGCAAAAUGAAAAUCGCAUCCUUAUGCGUAAUACAAAAUGCAGCUGGUUGCAUUGGUGUCUACACGCUAGACUAUUGGGUUUAAGCUCGGCAUUCUUGAAUUCAGACUGGCUUGCUACCAGUGGGGCAACCCCUGGUGCUUGUUUAGUUUCUGUCUAAUCGGGUGUCGACUUGACUCUGUACGUUCUGACGUGAAACGAUUGGGCAUUAAUGUAAGCUAGUUUGCAAUAAUUGGCAGUGAGUAGGUCGGCUUUCCGAACGACCCGUCUUGAAACACGGACCAAGGAGUCUAAUUAGGUAUCGAGUCGAUCGGUCUUGAAUAGGCCAGACUGGUUAGAGCUAAUCGAAUGAAGGCGUAGAGAAAUCGUGUGAUCAGUUGGGCAAUACCAGCCCUCAUGCGCAACAUGUGCCUGUUCGUAUAGCAAUGUAGCAAUAAUGCUGAGCGGAGCAAAGAGAUACCUGAUUGGUACCCGAAAGAUGGUGAUGCCUGGGCAAAUUGAAGCCAGAGGAAACUCUGGUGGAGGAUUGUAGCGAUUCUGACGUGCAAAUCGAUCGUCAGACCUGGGUAUAGGGGCGAAAGACUAAUCGAACCAUC